AGGACGAACGCUGGCGGCGUGCUUAACACAUGCAAGUCACGGGGGCCCGCAAGGGUAACCGGCGAACGGGUGCGUAACACGUGAACAACCUGCCCUCGUGUGGGGGAUAGCCGGGCUAACGCCCGGGUAAUACCGCAUACGGUCAUCGAGAGGAGUCUCUUGGUGAAGAAAGCUCCGGCGCACGGGGAGGGGUUCGCGGCCUAUCAGCUAGUUGGCGGGGUAAUGGCCCACCAAGGCGACGACGGGUAGCUGGU
rnacentral:rRNA from 1 species